rnacentral:rRNA from 1 species
GAUGAACGCUGGCGGCGUGCCUAAUACAUGCAAGUAGAACGCUGAAGGAGGAGCUUGCUCUUCUGGAUGAGUUGCGAACGGGUGAGUAACGCGUAGGUAACCUGCCUGGUAGCGGGGGAUAACUAUUGGAAACGAUAGCUAAUACCGCAUGACAACAGUUAUUGCAUGAUAACUGUUUAAAAGGGGCAACUGCUCCACUACCAGAUGGACCUGCGUUGUAUUAGCUAGUUGGUGAGGUAACGGCUCACCAAGGCGACGAUACAUAGCCGACCUGAGAGGGUGAUCGGCCAAAAUGGGACUGAGACACGGCCCAGACUCCUACGGGAGGCAGCAGUAGGGAAUCUUCGGCAAUGGACGGAAGUCUGACCGAGCAACGCCGCGUGAGUGAAGAAGGUUUUCGGAUCGUAAAGCUCUGUUGUAAGAGAAGAACGAGUGUGAGAGUGGAAAGUUCACACUGUGACGGUAUCUUACCAGAAAGGGACGGCUAACUACGUG